UACGGGGGGGGCAAGCGUUGUUCGGAAUUACUGGGCGUAAAGGGCUCGUAGGCGGCCAACUAAGUCCGACGUGAAAUCCCAAGGCUUAACCUUGGAACUGCGUCGGAUACUGGAUGGCUUGAAUUCGGGAGAGGGAUGCAGAAUUCCAGGUGUAGCGGUGAAAUGCGUAGAUAUCUGGAGGAAUACCGGUGGCGAAGGCGGCAUCCGGGACCGACAUUGACGCUGAGGAGCGAAAGCUAGGGGAGCAAACGGG
rnacentral:rRNA from 1 species